GAGACAGCAGUCGCCGCGGUAAUACGGAGGAUCCAAGCGUUAUCCGGAAUCAUUGGGUUUAAAGGGUCCGUAGGCGGUCUUGUAAGUCAGUGGUGAAAGCCCAUCGCUCAACGGUGGAACGGCCAUUGAUACUGCAGGACUUGAAUUAUUGGGAAGUAACUAGAAUAUGUAGUGUAGCGGUGAAAUGCUUAGAGAUUACAUGGAAUACCAAUUGCGAAGGCAGGUUACUACCAAUUGAUUGACGCUGAUGGACGAAAGCGUGGGUAGCGAACAGGAUUAGAUACCCCUGUAGUCCCUGUCUCUUAUAC
rnacentral:rRNA from 1 species